AGAGUUUGAUCCUGGCUCAGGAUGAACGCUGGCGGCGUGCUUAACACAUGCAAGUCGAACGGGCUCAUAUUGAAACCUAGUGAUUUAUGAGUUAGUGGCGGACGGGUGAGUAACGCGUGGAAAACCUGCCGUAUACUGGGGGAUAACACUUAGAAAUAGGUGCUAAUACCGCAUAAGCGCACAGCUUCGCAUGAAGUGGUGUGAAAAACUCUGGUGGUAUACGAUGGUUCCGCGUCUGAUUAGCUUGUUGGUGGGGUAAUGGCUCACCAAGGCGACGAUCAGUAACCGGCCUGAGAGGGUGAACGGCCACAUUGGGACUGAGACACGGCCCAAACUCCUACGGGAGGCAGCAGUGGGGAAUAUUGCACAAUGGGGGAAACCCUGAUGCAGCGACGCCGCGUGAGUGAAGAAGUAUUUCGGUAUGUAAAGCUCUAUCAGCAGGGAAGAAAUAGCGACCUUUGGGUCGCCAGACGGUACCUGAUUAAGAAGCCCCGGCUAACUACGUGCCAGCAGCCGCGGUAAUACGUA
rnacentral:rRNA from 1 species